ACUCAAAGGAAUUGACGGGGGCCCGCACAAGCAGCGGAGCGUGUGGUUUAAUUCGAUGCAACGCGAAGAACCUUACCUAGACUUGACAUGCACCGGAAACUCCUGGAAACAGGGGCCCCUUCGGGCCGGUGCACAGAUGUUGCAUGGCUGUCGUCAGCUCGUGUCGUGAGAUGUUGGGUUAAGUCCCGCAACGAGCGCAACCCUCGUGGGCUGUUGCAACUCAGCUCAGACUGCCGGUACAAGCCGGAGGAAGGUGGGGAUGACGUCAAGUCCGCAUGGCUCUUACGUCUAGGGCUACACACACGCUACAAUGGUCGGGACAGAGCGCAGCCACGCCGCGAGGCGGAGCGAAUCGCAAAACCCGAUCUCAGUUCGGAUGGCAGGCUGCAACCCGCCUGCCUGAAGUCGGAGUUGCUAGUAACCGCGUGUCAGCAUAGCGCGGUGAAUAUGUUCCCGGGCCUUGUACACACCGCCCGU
rnacentral:rRNA from 1 species